AGCUCUAUCGCCAAGUGGUAAGGCAACGGGUUUUGAUCCCGUCAUCCCAUGGUUCGAAUCCAUGUAGACCUGCCA
rnacentral:tRNA from 1 species